rnacentral:rRNA from 1 species
UACGUAGGGUGCGAGCGUUGUCCGGAAUUAUUGGGCGUAAAGAGCUUGUAGGCGGUUUGUCGCGUCUGCUGUGAAAAUCCGGGGCUCAACCCCGGACUUGCAGUGGGUACGGGCAGACUAGAGUGUGGUAGGGGAGACUGGAAUUCCCGGUGUAGUGGUGGAAUGCGUAGAGAUCGGGAGGAACACCUGUGGCGAAGGCGGUGGCCUGGACCGGUGCUGACGCUGAGGCGCGAAGGCGUGGGGAGCGAUCCGG